rnacentral:rRNA from 1 species
UACAGGGGGUGCAAACGUUGCUCGGAAUCAUUGGGCGUAAAGCGCACGUAGGCGGUUCGUUAUGUCGGAUGUGAAAGCCCUUGGCUUAACCGAGGAAGUGCAUCCGAAACUGGCGAGCUAGAGUACUAAAGAGGAUCGCGGAAUUCCCGGUGUAGAGGUGAAAUUCGUAGAUAUCGGGAGGAACACCUGUGGCGAAAGCGGCUGACUGGACCACAACUGACGCUGAGGCGCGAAAGCGAGGGGAGCAAACAGG